rnacentral:lncRNA from 1 species
GCAGAUCCCAACACUCCAGGAUGGUGCAGGACAUCAGUCUCAAGGCAUCUUCCUUCAUGUUCUCUGGGGGAGAGACUGACUGUGGGAAUCAGCCUUGGUUGCAAAGGGAAGCUGAGAGAAGAGAGCAGCGCAGGGCACGGACAUGCCAGCCCAGUUACUGGAGAUAUCUGCCGCUGGAGACGGGUUCAGAGCCUAGUUUAAUAUCCCGAAUUUCUGAUGCCAAGCUGAUCAUCGUCUCAGCACCAGCAAAGACAUGCUAUUCCCGUCCCUGACGAGCAUUUCCUUCUUGAGAAAGUGAUUUUGAGGGGCUGCAGAUGUACUUGGAGGAAGGUUUGGGCCGGGACAGAUGACGUGCCCAUGUGGGAGCUGGACGGCCCCUCUCUGGGUAGCUCCCUGGGAACUCCCAUGUCCGCCUCCCGCUGCCUCCUGAUCCAAGGUGGAUGCACUUCAUUUGAGGCCUGGUCUUUCGUCCUUCCCUCUCCUCUUCGGGGACCACUUUGUCUAGUGCUAGACUCAUUGUGCUUCCCCCUUGGGGCUUCCUUCAGCCCUCAGCCGAUUCAAGACUUCAAAAGGAAGUUGGACAUGGAGAGGAAAAAAGAAAUGAAACCAGGAAGGAACCGCCAAGAAGCACACAACGCGUUUAUGCUGCCUUAACCACACGCUUGACUCUAAAUGGGUUUAAAAAUUCUUACUUGUGUUAGCCCAAGAAAGUUUCUGCAGCCGUCUUUUUGGUUUAAACAAUCAAAUACUCAAUAAUUCUGGGGCUGGUGGGCCAGGAUAUGGGUUACUCAGAUCUUCUGCUUCACCCCAUGCUCGGUCCCUGAGCCAGUUCUGUCAUUGGUUCUUUCAGACCAGGGCAGGAAAAGUCAAGAAAGCAAAAGCGGAUUCUAGGCUGUGGGGUUUGCUGUUUGCUAGCCCCCUGGCAGAGAUGCCUGUCCUUGCAGUCCUGAACUGGUGGCCAAGUGUGCAUGCAUGCACGUGCAGGUGUGUGCAUGUGCAGGUGUGCAUGCGUGUAUGUGCGCACACACAUUCAUGCUUGUACAUGUUUGUGUACACGCACACUUUUUUCUGCUUUCAAUUUCAAGCUGUUGCCUCCCUGAUGUGUCUGUUUAGUGACUUGAGCCAGAAAGAUUCCCGGUUCUAUGUGGGAUGAGAAUGAACGCAGGCAGGUCUCCACAGAAGUGAGUAAAGUAGAGCUGAGAAGAAGGACAUUGUCUCAUGCCAGCCUGUCCAAUAGCCACUUUGCCCCAGCCCUGCCUCAAGCCCCAGAGAGAUGACAAGGCUCUCUCUGUUUGUCGACUCCUUGAAGCUCAGAAAGGUGGGUCAAGAGGUGCCCGUCAAGCGUUUAGGCAAGCACAGGACCCUGAUCUUUACUAAGUCUCCACAUCUCUCUUGCACAGCCCUGGGCUCAGGGCUUGGUCCCCUCUGGGCAGGCCAUCCAGACUAAGUGACAGUCAGAUUGUGUGUGGGGAGGCUAGAGACAUCCAUUCUUCAUGGAUCAGCCUGAAUGGCUGGACAGAUCUUGCAAAUGGAUUGUGUAAGACAGAGUGUGGAAGAGGAGGCUGUGAUCAGUGGCUUGGAGAGCAGAGUGUGGUCAGGCGCUAAACCUAAGGCUUUUCUGGGAAGAGCUGUUAAGAUUAGACUGUUCUCCCAAAAAGCCAAUAAUUCUGAGUGUCUCCAUUAAUGCCUAGGUAGCCCAUACUCUCACCCAGCCGGUGCCCUUCAGCCUGGAACCUUUGGAUGGAGGAUUGGACCUUGUGACCUUCAAGUUCCCUUCCGAACCAAAUAUGCUCUAACCCAGGAGAUGGUGCUGUUGCCCAGGAAGCCGGUCACCAUGACGAGAGUACCCGCUCAGAUGAGGAUGCAGGCGGAGGCGGUGAAGGUGCUGGAGGCCAGGAUGCUGAGGUACCUCCAGACACCACCCAGGCUGCAGCAAAUGGAAUGGGAGAGGCUAACACACCAUAAUUUUUCAAUUCCAUGAUGCCCAUUUUUUCUCACAUUUUAACGUCUCUAAAAUUGGGGCACAUCUUAUGAUUGAUGGCAUCUUACAAUUACACUUGGCAGUACUUUUUCUUGGUGAUACAAAAAAACAACAGUGUAUCUUACAACUGAUAGCUUAGAUUCAGUGAAAUCCUAGAAUACAACAGGUUUGAAAA